AUCUAGGUUGCGCUGUGCUUAUGAGAAUCUAAUACCUAUUGAUCUGUCACUUUCUCCCAUCACGCUCAGGUGGGACCAUCCAGUUUCAGGAAAACAAGCUUAACACGCCCACUGAUUCUACAUUAUGCUCCUACCUCCCGGCAGCCUCGCCAGGCCCAGAACUCUCUCCAGUCAGCCUCUACAGACCAAGCUCAUGACUCACAAUGGCCUAUUGAGGCCCAUACCCUACCUCACGGCAGUCUCCGCAGAUGAGCCUACUGCCUCACAACAGCCUCCACAGGCACAGCUCCAUCGUUACAAUGGCCUCUUUAGACCCAGCUCCUGCCGCCCAGCCUUCUCUCCAGGCCCUGAACUUUCUCCGUGGGACCAUCCAGUUUCAGGAAAACAAGCUGAACACGCCCACUGAUUCUACAUUAUGCUCCUACCUCCCGGCAGCCUCGCCAGGCCCAGAACUCUCUCCAGUCAGCCUCUACAGACCAAGCUCAUGACUCACAAUGGCCUAUUGAGGCCCAUACCCUACCUCACGGCAGUCUCCGCAGAUGAGCCUACUGCCUCACAACAGCCUCCACAGGCACAGCUCCAUCGUUACAAUGGCCUCUUUAGACCCAGCUCCUGCCGCCCAGCCUUCUCUCCAGGCCCUGAACUUUCUCCGUGGGACCAUCCAGUUUCAGGAAAACAAGCUUAACACGCCCACUGAUUCUACAUUAUGCUCCUACCUCCCGGCAGCCUCGCCAGGCCCAGAACUCUCUCCAGUCAGCCUCUACAGACCAAGCUCAUGACUCACAAUGGCCUAUUGAGGCCCAUACCCUACCUCACGGCAGUCUCCGCAGAUGAGCCUACUGCCUCACAGCAGCCUCCACAGGCACAGCUCCAUCGUUACAAUGGCCUCUUUAGACCCAGCUCCUGCCGCCCAGCCUUCUCUCCAGGCCCUGAACUUUCUCCGUGGGACCAUCCAGUUUCAGGAAAACAAGCUGAACACGCCCACUGAUUCUACAUUAUGCUCCUACCUCCCGGCAGCCUCGCCAGGCCCAGAACUCUCUCCAGUCAGCCUCUACAGACCAAGCUCAUGACUCACAAUGGCCUAUUGAGGCCCAUACCCUACCUCACGGCAGUCUCCGCAGAUGAGCCUACUGCCUCACAACAGCCUCCACAGGCACAGCUCCAUCGUUACAAUGGCCUCUUUAGACCCAGCUCCUGCCGCCCAGCCUUCUCUCCAGGCCCUGAACUUUCUCCGUGGGACCAUCCAGUUUCAGGAAAACAAGCUUAACACGCCCACUGAUUCUACAUUAUGCUCCUACCUCCCGGCAGCCUCGCCAGGCCCAGAACUCUCUCCAGUCAGCCUCUACAGACCAAGCUCAUGACUCACAAUGGCCUAUUGAGGCCCAUACCCUACCUCACGGCAGUCUCCGCAGAUGAGCCUACUGCCUCACAACAGCCUCCACAGGCACAGCUCCAUCGUUACAAUGGCCUCUUUAGACCCAGCUCCUGCCGCCCAGCCUUCUCUCCAGGCCCUGAACUUUCUCCGUGGGACCAUCCAGUUUCAGGAAAACAAGCUUAACACGCCCACUGAUUCUACAUUAUGCUCCUACCUCCUGGCAGCCUCGCCAGGCCCAGAACUCUCUCCAGUCAGCCUCCACAGACCAAGCUCAUGACUCACAAUGGCCUAUUGAGGCCCAUACCCUACCUCACGGCAGUCUCCGCAGAUGAGCCUACUGCCUCACAGCAGCCUCCACAGGCACAGCUCCAUCGUUACAAUGGCCUCUUUAGACCCAGCUCCUGCCGCCCAGCCUUCUCUCCAGGCCCUGAACUUUCUCCGUGGGACCAUCCAGUUUCAGGAAAACAAGCUGAACACGCCCACUGAUUCUACAUUAUGCUCCUACCUCCCGGCAGCCUCGCCAGGCCCAGAACUCUCUCCAGUCAGCCUCUACAGACCAAGCUCAUGACUCACAAUGGCCUAUUGAGGCCCAUACCCUACCUCACGGCAGUCUCCGCAGAUGAGCCUACUGCCUCACAACAGCCUCCACAGGCACAGCUCCAUCGUUACAAUGGCCUCUUUAGACCCAGCUCCUGCCGCCCAGCCUUCUCUCCAGGCCCUGAACUUUCUCCGUGGGACCAUCCAGUUUCAGGAAAACAAGCUGAACACGCCCACUGAUUCUACAUUAUGGUGAGUUCUAUAAUUAUUUUAUUAUAUAUUCCAGUGUAAUAAUGGAAAUGAAGUGCCUAAUAAACGUAAAUGUGC